rnacentral:lncRNA from 1 species
CAUUUAGGAAAAAAAAAAAAAAAAAGCAUUAUCUGGCAAAGAAUAUGGCAUUUAUGCAAUAUAUGGUAGCUGUAAUCUCAACUGUUUUAUUAUUCAGUUUUUACAGGGAGGGAGACUGCUACCUGCCAUCUGUCAGCCUGCCAGAAAUUCCUAUGUCUAUCAGAGCAAGAGCUAAGGAUGUGACAUCUUUCUCCAUCGUCUUCUCAGAAUAUCCAGGCAUCAAAAAAUUGCAACUGAGCUGCAGGACAAGAGCUUAG